AUUAGACUCAGGUAUUUAUAUAUAUAACACUGCCUAAAUAGUAGAGUUGUUCAGAAAUAAAGUAUGGGACUCAACAUACUUCUCUGACUGAAAAACAGUUGUUUCGGACUACGCUAAUAGUCUAAGUCCUUUUUAGAAUGGACUACGUUAUUUUGGUCAAGACACCUACAGAUACUCCUCAAGUCUGUAGCUCUGUC
rnacentral:ncRNA from 16 species